CACACAAUUCAAUCAAAUUUCAUGGGUUCAACAACAACAACAUUUUCAUUAUUCACACAAUUCUAUCAAAUUUCAUUGGUUUAACAUCAACAUUUUCAUCAUUCACACAGUUAAAUAAAAUUUCGUGGAUUUAACAACAACAACAUUUUCAUCAUUCACACAAUUCAAUCAAAUUUCAUGGGUUUAAGAACAACAUUUUUAGCGUUCACACAACUCAAUCAAAUUUCAUGGGUUUAACGACAAUAUUUUCAUC
rnacentral:lncRNA from 1 species